rnacentral:rRNA from 1 species
GAGUUUGAUCAUGGCUCAGGACGAACGCUGGCGGUGCGCCUUAUGCAUGCAAGUUGAGCGAAGCUUUUUGGUAGUUUACUACUAGAAAUGACUGAGCGGCGAACGGGUGAGUAACGCGUGAGCAAUCUACCUUAGUUACUGGGAUAGCCCGAGGAAACUCGGAUUAAUACCGGAUAUUCUUAUUUUUUCACAUGAAGUUUUAAGGAAAGGUCAGCCGAACUAAGAUGAGCUCGCGUUCUAUCAGCUAGUUGGUGGGGUAAAAGCCUACCAAGGCUACGACGGAUAGCUGGUCUGAGAGGACGAUCAGCCACACUGGGACUGAGACACGGCCCAGACUCCUACGGGAGGCUGCAGCAGGGAAUAUUGUGCAAUGAGCGAAAGCUUGACACAGCGACACCGCGUGUGGGAUGACGGUUCUAGGAUUGUAAACCACUUUCAGGAGGGUAGAAAAUGACGGUACCUCCACAAGAAGACCCGGCCAACUAUGUGCCAGCAGCCGCGGUAAUACAUAGGGGUCAAGCGUUGUCCGGAUUUAUUGGGCGUAAAGAGCUCGUAGGCGGUUCAACAAGUCGGUCGUAAAAGUUUAGGGCUCAACCCUAAAAUGUCGAUCGAUACUGUUGUGACUAGGAUACGGUAGAGGUGAAUGGAAUUCCGAGUGUAGCGGUGAAAUGCGUAGAUAUUCGGAGGAACACCAAUUGCGAAGGCAGUUCACUGGACCGUGAUCGACGCUGAGGAGCGAAAGCUAGGGGAGCAAACAGGAUUAGAUACCCUGGUAGUCCUAAGCGUUAAACAAGAUACUCUAAAGUAGGGAACGGGAUGAGGGUUUUUUUUCUAGACAAACCGUUAAAUUCCCCCCUGAAAAUCCUUUCCCAAAUAAAAAUCAAAAGAAUUGACGGGCCCCCCCCAGGGGGGGGACCGUGGGGUUUAUUUGGAUUAUACCCGGAAACCUUUCCUGGCUUUGACAUAUAGGGAAAAACGGGGGAGAAUCCCGUUGGGGAGGCCCCCCUAACCCAGGGGGGCAGGGGCUGUUCUCCACCUGGUUUGGGGGAAUGUGGGUUAGUCCCCCCAAGAGGGCCCACCCCCUGUUCUUUUGUUCCCACGCAAGAAAAUUUGGGGGAUCUAUUAGGAAGCUGUGCCGGGUGAUAAACCGAAGAAAAGUUGGGGAGGAGCGUCUCAAGUUACUAUUGCCCCUUAAUGUUCAAGGGCUGCAACGCCAUGCUACACAAUGGCAAGGUACAACGGAGUGUCGCAAUUACCGGGGAGGGUGGAGCAAAAUUCUUUUAAAGCUUGUCUCAGUUCGGGAUAGGAGUCUGCAACUCGACUCCUUGAAGUUGGAGUCGCUAGUAAUCGCAAAUCAGCAAAGUUGCGGUGAAUACGUUCUCGGGGUUUGUACACACCGCCCGUCAAGUCACGGAAGUCGGCAAUACGCGAAGCCAGUGGUCUAACCCUUUGGGGAAGAAGCUGUCGAACGUAGGGUUGGUAACUGGGACUAAGUCGUAACAAGGUAACC